rnacentral:rRNA from 1 species
UACGGAAGGCAGCAGUGGGGAAUAUUGCACAAUGGGCGCAAGCCUGAUGCAGCCAUGCCGCGUGUAUGAAGAAGGCCUUCGGGUUGUAAAGUACUUUCAGUCGUGAGGAAGGUGUUAAGGUUAAUAACCUUAGCAAUUGACGUUAGCGACAGAAGAAGCACCGGCUAACUCCGUGCCAGCAGCCGCGGUAAUACGGAGGGUGCGAGCGUUAAUCGGAAUUACUGGGCGUAAAGGGCACGCAGGCGGUUAAUUAAGUUGGAUGUGAAAUCCCCGGGCUUAACCUGGGAAUGGCAUUCAAGACUGGUUAGCUAGAGUCUUGGUAGAGGGGGUAGAAUUCCAUGUGUAGCGGUGAAAUGCGUAGAGAUGUGGAGGAAUACCGGUGGCGAAGGCGGCCCCUGGACAAAGACUGACGCUCAUGUGCGAAAGCGUGGGGAGCGAAAC